AUACUUACCUGGCAUGGGAGAUACCGUGAUCAAGAAUACGGUUCACCUUGAGCGAGGCUCAGCCAUUGCACUCCGGCUGUGCUGACCCCUGUGAAUUCCCCAAAUGUGGGGAAUCUCGACUGCAUAAUUUCUGGUAAUGGGAGACUGUGUUUGCACUCUCCCCUU
ensembl:snRNA U1 U1 spliceosomal RNA